GACGAACGCUGGCGGCGUGCCUAAUACAUGCAAGUCGAGCGGAAUGAUGAAGAAGCUUGCUUCUUCUGAUUUUAGCGGCGGACGGGUGAGUAACACGUGGGCAACCUACCUUGUAGAUUGGGAUAACUCCGGGAAACCGGGGCUAAUACCGAAUAAUCCAUUUCGCUUCAUGGCGGAAUGUUAAAAGGCGGCUUUUAGCUGUCACUGCAAGAUGGGCCCGCGGCGCAUUAGCUAGUUGGUAGGGUAACGGCCUACCAAGGCGACGAUGCGUAGCCGACCUGAGAGGGUGAUCGGCCACACUGGGACUGGGACACGGCCCAGACUCCUACGGGAGGCAGCAGUAGGGAAUCUUCCACAAUGGACGAAAGUCUGAUGGAGCAACGCCGCGUGAGUGAAGAAGGUUUUCGGAUCGUAAAACUCUGUUGUAAGGGAAGAACACGUACGAGAGUAACUGCUCGUACCUUGACGGUACCUUAUUAGAAAGCCACGGCUAACUACGUGCCAGCCGCCGCAGUAAAAC
rnacentral:rRNA from 1 species